UGUAAACUUGUACUCUAAUUGAUGUCGUCCUUAAGUGUUUAUUAUAAUUUACUUUUAGUUUUUGGGUAAAAUUAGAGAUUCUGUUAAUUGUUGUUUAAGGACAAAAAAUUUAGUGAGCAAGCCAGAUUAGUACCUGGUUAGAUAAAAGUUAAAAGAGCAGGAGUAAGGUUAUAUUUAAACUGUAAGAAUAUUGGCAGGUUUUUAAAUUAUCUUUGGAGGUUGAAUAGUAAUUGAGAGCCCUCAUUAUCUACUUUUAUUUUAGGCGCAUGUAUGAUCGUUUAUUUUAUUCUUGAGGAUUGUAAUUUUAGUUUAUAGCUAUAAAGAUAGAUAUAUACUUGGUCUAUAUUAAAGUUUAUUUUGACCUACAAUAUUAUAUUUUUUGGACAAUAUUUGUAGUAGAUAUUUGAAAUUGUAAAAGACAGUAAAAUCUUCUUAAUGUAGAUUUGAAGUUUAUUUAAAAACGGUACAAAUCAUCCAUCAAUUGCCCAUAGG
rnacentral:ncRNA from 1 species